UACGAAGGGGGGCUAGCGUUGUUCGGAUUUACUGGGCGUAAAGCGCACGUAGGCGGAUCGAUCAGUCAGGGGUGAAAUCCCAGGGCUCAACCCUGGAACUGCCUUUGAUACUGUCGAUCUGGAGUAUGGAAGAGGUGAGUGGAAUUCCGAGUGUAGAGGUGAAAUUCGUAGAUAUUCGGAGGAACACCAGUGGCGAAGGCGGCUCACUGGCCCGAUACCGACGCUGAGGUGCGAAAGCGUGGGGAGCAAACAGGG
rnacentral:rRNA from 1 species